CCUCCAUGGCCUCUGCAUCAGGUCCUGUAUCCUGACCUGCUUGAGUUCCAGUCCUGACCUCUUUUGGUGAUGAACAGCAUUUUGGAAAUUGACUCAACUGGGUUCCAGAGAGAAAGCAUGAUAGAUGCUGCUGUGUUCUUCGCCAAGGACUUCUUGGCUGGUGGAGUGGCCUCAGCAUCUUCAAGAUGGUGGUAGCACCCAUCAAGCAGGUUAAGCUGUGCAGCCUCCUAGCAAGCAAAUCAUGGCAGAUAAGCAAUAUAAAGGCAUUAUAGACUACAUGGUUUGCAUCUCCAAGGAAUAGGGAUGAUAAGUUAUUUCAUGCUCCUACCCAAAGAUGGUCUCACAGCCUGGACAGCAGUGAAACAGCCAGCUCUACCUGGACUUGGCCAACAAUGGAGUCCUGUC